AGAGUUUGAUCCUGGCUCAGAGCGAACGUUAGCGGCAGGCUUAACACAUGCAAGUCGAGCGACAAAGGGGCUUCGGCCCUGAGUAGAGCGGCGAACGGGUGAGUAACGCGUGGGCAACCUGGCCUUAAGAAAAGGAUAGCCCCCGGAAACGGGGAGUAAUACUUUAUGAGAAUAGAAAAGGGCAUCCUAUUUCUAUUCAAAGCGCAAGCGCUUAAGGAUGGGCCCGCGUAUCAUUAGCUAGUUGGUGAGAUAACAGCCCACCAAGGCAACGAUGAUUAGCCGGUCUGAGAGGGCGAACGGCCACAUUGGAACUGAGAGACGGUCCAAAACUCCUACGGGAGGCAGCAGUGGGGAAUAUUGCGCAAUGGAGAAGAACUCUGACGCAGCAAUACCGCGUGAGCGAAGAAGGUCUUCGGAUCGUAAAGCUCUGUUAUCA
rnacentral:rRNA from 1 species